UGCAAGAUGAAUGGAUACCCCUAAUGGCUUGCUUGCAGUAACUGACCAUAUCGCCCUUCACUGUGCUUUCACUGAUGAAAGUUUUCAGAUUGUAAAUGCUGAAUUCCUGCAGCAAGUAAAACCUUUGCACUGGAUGGUGCUGAAGGGCCACGACGGAUGGAAGCAUGAGUUUGGGCAUUAACCUUAGGGUAAGAAGAUGCUGAAUGUAAUGAUAAAUAUUACCCUGCAGUGCAGAUUACAGUGAAGCAGGGUUGGAGAGAAGUGAAAAAGCUAUCUCCAUAUUGCAGUCUUACUUUUGGAUAUGGGGUUAUCCUAAAGGAAUGCAGUACGCAAUGUGGAUAAUGAGGAAAAUGAAAGUGGUUAUGAAGAUGAACAAUAUGGGCGACAAGACAAAGAAAGAGGACAUCCAAAUGACUCCAGAAACCAGCAAAUUUGAAUCUUCCAGGUUGAAGACAAAGAAAGUGGACAAGACGAAAAUUUGUGCAGUAUGAAAAGUGCAUUAAGUUGAAUGUGUGUGAACUCUUCCAGGUUAGCGAGCGCCCUUCUACUAUUGUACUUUUCAAACUAUAUUUGCUCUUGAUGUCCUGAAAAUGUGAUGCUUUGUAUUUUCCUUAUCUUGUUUCUCUGGGAAGCUCUCUUGCACUUUAGAUAAAUAGAAGAAUAGAAUUUGUAUUUCAUUGUGUGGGAAAAUUGUGCUUUGGAAAGGUUAUCUUCUUGAGGAGUGCAGGCUUGUCAACUGCAGAAACCCCUCCCUAAGUUCUGCUUCUUUGGUCUUAGUUAUUAUCAAUUUAGUCUGUUGUUUCUCCUUGUUGGACCA